GAUGAACGCUGGCGGCGUGCCUAAUACAUGCAAGUCGAGCGAACAGACGAGGAGCUUGCUCCUCUGACGUUAGCGGCGGACGGGUGAGUAACACGUGGAUAACCUACCUAUAAGACUGGGAUAACUUCGGGAAACCGGAGCUAAUACCGGAUAAUAUAUUGAACCGCAUGGUUCAAUAGUGAAAGACGGUUUUGCUGUCACUUAUAGAUGGAUCCGCGCCGCAUUAGCUAGUUUGUAAGGUAACGGCUUACCAAGGCAACGAUGCGUAGCCGACCUGAGAGGGUGAUCGGCCACACUGGAACUGAGACACGGUCCAGACUCCUACGGGAGGCAGCAGUAGGGAAUCUUCCGCAAUGGGCGAAAGCUUGACGGAGCAACGCCGCGUGAGUGAUGAAGGCCUUCGGAUCGUAAAACUCUGUUAUUAGGGAAGAACAAAUGUGUAAGUAACUAUGCACGUCUUGACGGUACCUAAUCAGAAAGCCACGGCUAACUACGUG
rnacentral:rRNA from 1 species